UUGGUUAAGUUAGAAAGGGCGCACGGUGGAUGCCUUGGCACUAGGAGCCGAAGAAGGACGGGACUAACACCGAUAUGCUUUGGGGAGCUGUACGUAAGCGUUGAUCCAGAGAUUUCCGAAUGGGGGAACCCACUAUCUUUAGUCGGAUAGUAUCCUUACGUGAAUACAUAGCGUGAGGAAGGCAGACCCAGGGAACUGAAACAUCUAAGUACCUGGAGGAAGAGAAAGAAAAAUCGAUUUCCUGAGUAGCGGCGAGCGAAACGGAAAGAGCCCAAACCAAGAAGCUUGCUUCUUGGGGUUGUAGGACACUCUAUACGGAGUUACAAAAGAAAGUUAUAAAUGAAGCGGUCUGGAAAGGCCCGCCAAAGACGGUAACAGCCCGGUAGUUGAAAUGGCUUUCCCUCCAGAGUGGAUCCUGAGUACGGCGGAACACGUGAAAUUCCGUCGGAAUCCGGGAGGACCAUCUCCCAAGGCUAAAUACUCCCUAGUGACCGAUAGUGAACCAGUACCGUGAGGGAAAGGUGAAAAGCACCCCGGAAGGGGAGUGAAACAGUUCCUGAAACCGUGUGCCUACAAGUAGUUAGAGCCCGUUAAUGGGUGAUAGCGUGCCUUUUGUAGAAUGAACCGGCGAGUUACGAUUUGUUGCAAGGUUAAGCGGAAAAAGCGGAGCCGUAGCGAAAGCGAGUCUGAAUAGGGCGCAUAAGUAACAGGUCGUAGACCCGAAACCAGGUGAUCUACCCAUGUCCAGGAUGAAGGUAAGGUAAUACUUACUGGAGGUCCGAACCCACGCACGUUGAAAAGUGCGGGGAUGAGGUGUGGGUAGCGGAGAAAUUCCAAUCGAACUUGGAGAUAGCUGGUUCUCUCCGAAAUAGCUUUAGGGCUAGCCUCGAGGUAAAGAGUCAUGGAGGUAGAGCACUGUUUGGACUAGGGGCCCUUCUCGGGUUACCGAAUUCAGAUAAACUCCGAAUGCCAUGUACUUAUACUCGGGAGUCAGACUGCGAGUGAUAAGAUCCGUAGUCGAAAGGGAAACAGCCCAGACCACCAGUUAAGGUCCCCAAAUAUAUGUUAAGUGGAAAAGGAUGUGGGGUUGCUUAGACAACCAGGAUGUUGGCUUAGAAGCAGCCACCAUUGAAAGAGUGCGUAAUAGCUCACUGGUCGAGUGACCCCGCGCCGAAAAUGUACCGGGGCUAAACAUAUUACCGAAACUGUGGAUGAACCUCUUUAGAGGUUCGUGGUAGGAGAGCGUUCUAAGGGCGGUGAAGUCAGACCGGAAGGACUGGUGGAGCGCUUAGAAGUGAGAAUGCCGGUAUGAGUAGCGAAAGAAGGGUGAGAAUCCCUUCCACCGAAUAUCUAAGGUUUCCUGAGGAAGGCUCGUCCGCUCAGGGUUAGUCGGGACCUAAGCCGAGGCCGAUAGGCGUAGGCGAUGGACAACAGGUAGAGAUUCCUGUACCAGUGCUAAUUGUUUAACCGAUGGGGUGACACAGAAGGAUAGGGAAUCGCACGAAUGGAAAUGUGCGUCCAAGCAGUGAGUGUGAGAAGUAGGCAAAUCCGCUUCUCGCGAAGCAUGAGCUGUGAUGGGGAAGGAAAUUAAGUACGGAAGUUCCUGAUUUCACGCU
rnacentral:rRNA from 1 species